GGUUAGCUGUUCCAGGGAGGAAGGUAGGGAGGAAGGCGUCAUUCAGCAAAGAGCGCCCGCAGGCACAGUUCCAGACUCCAGAUGCAAGGAUGAGCCGGGCCCAGUCUUCCCUUCCCUGUCUUUCCCAACUGUCCCCUCCCUGGCCCUCCCCAGCUCUCCAACUGUCCCCGACUUUGGCACAGCUCACGUGCACCGGUGACAGGUGAGCUGAAUGGCAUGGCUCCAGGCACGGACUCACCAAGCGAUUUUGUCGUCCACUGUUCAAGAGGUGAUCAGUGGGAGAACUUCCCCUGCCCCUGGAUGGAAACUCACCUGCAGGCAUCCACCGCUUUCCUGGGCACCGGAGUAGAGAAACCGUGCAGUCAUUUUACGUUGCCACACGUGGUCCCCGUUCAGGAAUUGGAAUGCCGUGUGUCGUAGAAGAGUCAAAGCUUCGAGUGACCACUAACGGCACCGAGUGCCCCCCCCCACCCCCCUGCCGCUGCUCCCAGAGCUGGAUCAGGGGGAAGGAGGCCAGCGUGAGGGCGGGGGAGCAGACCUCCUACUCUUGAUGGUCGCUGUCCUAAACCGGCCUCCCUCCUGGGCCUGGCCGGGGCUUAGCUCUUCUCUCAUCCUGGUGGGGGACACUCGCAGGGAUCUGUGGCGACCCCUCUGCCCCUCCUCCUCCCCCCAGCUCAAGGCCUCUGGUGAGCACUUCCGCAUGCGCAUGCUGUGGCCAAUCUUCCCCCCUCCCACCCCUCCACCUUUGCAGCCCCUAGGAAUCCAGUGAUUCCCCCCCCCCCCCGCCUCGGCUUCCUACUUCUGAGCCCUGUUCACCUGCUCAGGACCUCAGGAGGACCCCAGGUGGGCUUGUGGCCUGUGUAGCUCAGGUCUGGCUCAGGGGAGAGGCUUUGCAACUUCUGCCCUGUCAAAGUUGGCAUGUGCCAGCCAGCCCCAGUGCCCCCUCCCCUCUGGCUCUCUCUUCUGGCAGAUCUGACACCAGAGCUCCGAACCCCUGCCUCUAAGGGCCCAUUGCAGGCGCUCCCCGUGUCUCCGAAGAGCCUUAUCACUAGGCUUAAGGUGUCGAGGGAUCUCCCGCCGCCCACCCAACACUCACACGUGAUGCACACACAGCGCUGAAGAGGAGAAGGGCUCAGUACAAUUCUGCAAGGAAACCAUCUCUACAAAUUACCUGUUUAAGUAUCUGGGUUCUUUUAUGCCCUUGCGGUGGGCGAGGAUGAAAGAAGGAACAGGUUUUGGAAUGAGGCCAGGCAUGAAGACACCUGGAGCCGGGAGGCCGGCCACCUGCACGAGUUCCCAUCUUGUGAUGCUGCUUCUCAUUGGAUGCUAACGUCCUCCUUUCUGGCUGGGCCACGUUUACUACAUGUAGCCCAGGCUCAGGCUGGUGCCUACCCAGGUAUCCGGAGUAUCUGAACCAAAGACCAGAUUGGCUGUCGUUCUGUUCCGUGAACGCUGUGGUAGUCUGUCUCUGCUGAAAGCAGGCCAGCAGGAGUGUUUGUAGAUUCCCUGGCUGAGUCAGUUCUAUGCCACUUGGAAGCCCGGCCCACGAGCACCUCCGUCUGCCUGCACUGCCUUUGAUCAGACUCUGCAAAUCCUGAUGUCGCGCUAGGCUAGAACUGGACAAGAUCUCGUUCUAGAGCAGAGACGGCCAACCCGCAGGCAUCCAGUGACUUGCCCGACUCAAAGCUAAUAAGCAGCCGAGAUAGAAUGAGGACUCCCAGUUCCUGGUUUUUCUUUUUCUUUUUGUGCAAAGACCUAUGUGUUGAGCUGGGAAAUUAGCACAGUAUUUAUUGGCUCGUGUGGUCCAGGAAGAAGCCUGGAGCUCAUUGUGGGCAGGAUUAAAGACAUAAGCAAAGCUAACCUUGCCCCCAACUCAAAUGUUGCCUUUAACAGUAUGGAAAAGGAUAGUUUGGGAGAGGGCGUAGUUUUCUCCAUGAUAUUAACCUAAGAGCCCAGUAGAUCACAUUUAUAAUUAUAUCCAAACCGCUUAUCACAAGGGUAAACCUUUUGGAAUUUUGCUA